rnacentral:rRNA from 1 species
ACGAGCGCUGGCGGCGUGCUUAACACAUGCAAGUCGAACGGAAAGGACCUGCUUUUGUGGGGUGCUCGGGUGGCGAACGGGUGAGUAACACGUGAGUAACCUGCACCUGACUUUGGGAUAACUUCAGGAAACUGGGGCUAAUACCGGAAAGGAGCUCCUGCUGCAUGGUGGGGGUUGGAAAGUUUCGGCGGUUGGGGAUGGACUCGCGGCGUAUCAGCUUGUUGGUGGGGUAGUGGCUUACCAAGGCUUUGACGGGUAGCCGGCCUGAGAGGGUGACCGGCCACAUUGGGACUGAGGUACGGCCCAGACUGCUACGGGAGGCAGCAGUGGGGAAGAUUGCACCAGGGGCGGAGGCCUGAUGCAGCAACGCCGCGUGCGGGAUGACGGUCUUCUGGUUGUAGACCGCUUUCGCCUGUGACGAAGCGUGAGUGACGGUAAUGGGUAAAGAAGCACCGGCUAACUACGUG